CGCAAGCCUGACGGAGCAAGACCGCGUGGGGGAUGACGGCCUAAUGGUUGUAAACCCCUUUUCUCUGGGAAGAAGACUGACGGUACCAGAGGAAUCAGCCUCGGCUAACUCCGUGCCAGCAGCCGCGGUAAUACGGAGGAGGCAAGCGUUAUCCGGAAUUAUUGGGCGUAAAGCGUCCGUAGGUGGUUAUUCAAGUCUGCUGUCAAAGCGUGGGGCUUAACUCCAUAGAGGCAGUGGAAACUGAGUAACUAGAGUGCGGUAGGGGUCGAGGGAAUUCCCAGUGUAGCGGUGAAAUGCGUAGAUAUUGGGAAGAACACCAGUGACGAAAGCGCUCGACUGGGCCUGCACUGACACUGAGGGACGAAAGCUAGGGGAGCG
rnacentral:rRNA from 1 species